UACAGGUGUGAGUCACUGGGCCUGGCCUAGUGUUGAGUAUUCUUACCUUAAUGCAGUAUAGGUAUUUGCAUAAGAGUAAUAAGAAUCUGUUUUUGGUGUUUUUUUAAAUUUAUUUAUUUAUUUAUUUAUUUAUUUAUUUUAAACAGGGCACAGUUGGAGACACUGGUUAUUCUACCAGGGUUUUGACUGGAAUGGCAUAUCACAUACAGACUCGUUUAAGGAAUCAAAGUUGAUAUAUGGAGCCAAAAAAAAGCCCCUUGCACAUGCUAGCUUCAUACCUUGUCUACUCAGUUCCAGUACAGGUUCCUGACCUGUGAAUGUGAGACUUUACAACCUGCUAAAAAUGAGCUUUCCUAAUAACUUGGGACCUACCCAUCUAGGAAUGAAUCACCCUGGCCACAAGAGAUUAAAAAACAAAAACAAGAACAACAACAA